CACAAGGCCCUUUUCAGGGCCACAAUACCUCACAGGUCCAAUGACCU
rfam:Operophtera brumata OBRT01_Sc01700, whole genome shotgun sequence.